CUGAAAUAGAUCAAGUUCAAUGUGUGCUCUUGCUACACAUAGUAGCAUUUGGCUUUUUUUUUUUUUUUCCUUGACCACAUUUGCAAAAAGAGGGAAUAGAGACUUCUGUAAUGAAAGGGAAAAGGAAAAUGAAAGGACCUGAAAAUACUGAACUGUGGAGUCUGGGUGGCUUAAGUUUGGAAAAACACACGGAAUUAGUAGGACUACCCAACAGCGUUUCUGAGAAACCAUGUCACAGGUUGUGAGGAAAAUCAAUGCUGAAAGAGGAGGCGCGGGCACCGAGCUCCUCCUUCCAAGAAUCCCAGAAAUAGUUGCUGAGUUGCUUUUUUUUUUUUUUCUGCUGAGGAUAGAAAAUGACACAUUGAAAAUAAAAUCAUUAACUAUUAACUAUAUCUUAAGCACUACUCUGUAUGUCUGGGAAAUUUUGGAUAAUGUCUUUUCCUUUAGAUUUUGUGAUGGAGGAAUUCAUUCACGUUGAUGCACACUAUGUAAUGGAUACUGUGUAUAACUUGUCUAAUACUAAAUGUACAUUUUAUAAUGAAUUACUUUUUAAAAGUUUAUUAGACAAGUGUAACCAGUAGGCUCGUUACUGAAUUAGGAAAAAUUAUAGUUGGUGCCAUACUGAAAACAAGAUGAACAUUCAUUGGAGAGCAAAUCAUUUGGACUCAGGCUACCAAUGACUUUAGUAGGACAAUUUUAAGAGAAAUUGCAGUUCUGAUGAGUUAUAUGUUGUUGUUUUUUUAACCUGUCAAUUAGGUAAAUAAAAGUAAUUUUCUUGAUGACAUAUUUUAGGAAAGACAACAGAAUUCCACAAAUCAUUUUAAUCAUCCCAAUAGAUAGCAAAUAUUUUAACCUUAAAUUAUCUUAGAAAAGUGGAAUGUUGGUUCCCAGUAUAUAAAUGGUAGCAUAACUUCUCUAAGUUGCCAUAAAUCCCUCCUAAAAACUCAGCCUAAGUGUUUAAGUAUCUACAAAGUUAUGGAGGUCCUUAGGAAAGAUGACUUAAAACUGAAAAUGAAAUGUCUGGCUAGUUUAAGCAUUUUAAUUCUUUAAUAGAAGAGGAACCAAUAUGAAGUUUUAAGGAAUUAUCCUAAAGUUACUCAGAGUUACCACAGUUGAUAAAGUCCUUGCCCCCUGGCUGAUUAGAGCUUAAUUUAGCUCCCUUGAAAGACUAUCCUUUUCAGGAGUUGCUUUCUUUGACUUCCUAAUCACCAGAGGCACACUCUCUCCCUCUAGUGGCUAAGCAUUCCGACAUUUUACAUUUGGUGACUCUGUCUCCCCAGGAAUUGGGGGCGGGGUUUGGGGGGAGGGUGUAUUAGCUCCCAGAGUUUAGGACGGUAAAUGAUCACUUGUGAGAAUUAGACCAUUUGUGGAAACUUGCUCCUCUUUUUAACAUCCUAUGUUCCUUUCUAAUUUGCAGAUCCUGGCAUAGCCAGUGUAUCCCAAAGAAGUCAAGAUUAUGUUUACAUACUACAGCUAAGGGUUCUCUUUCAUCCUCUGCAGUUGAAUAGUCCUGGCUCUGAGACCCAGGGUUCCACUUGCGGGAAGGAACCUUUUAUAAACUGCAGUAAUUCACUUUGUUCACAGUUUUUCUCAACAGUAUUUUUAUGGUGGUUAGAAAGCAUAUUUUCACUUUUUACCCUGACUACACUGCACACAUUUUUAAAGUACACGUAUAGCUAGCCUGUGCAUAAAAAUGCACUACCAGGGAAGUACAGUACCAUCCUAUUCGCCCAUUGUAUCCAGUUGGAUAGUUCAAUUUUCACUUUGGGGAUGGGGGUGAGGAGGUGGGGAGAAAACAUACCUGGCCCCCACCUCACUUCACACAGCGGGUUCUUCCUGAUCCUGUCUGCCCCAUUCCGCUGAAACCAUGCCUUCCCAGCUCCAACUCAUAUAGUAGCGCCUUGCACAUCUCCUUCACUAUACAAUUUGUGGUGGUGAUCUUCGCUUUGAAGUGGUGUUCUCUUAAGUGAGAUGUGGAACAAUGGGCUCACUUUCUCCUGUCGACCUAGAUCGGCACUGUGAAGAAGCAAGGAAGCCCGAAUGGGAAACAUAGUUUCAAAGAAAACAUUCUAAGAUACCACAUCCAGUUCAUAAAUAAAGCAUCUUAAUACCUCA